rnacentral:rRNA from 1 species
UCGGGAAUUUUGGGCAAUGGGCGAAAGCCUGACCCAGCAACGCCGCGUGAAGGAUGAAGUAUUUCGGUAUGUAAACUUCGAAAGAAUAGGAAGAAUAAAUGACGGUACUAUUUAUAAGGUCCGGCUAACUACGUGCCAGCAGCCGCGGUAAUACGUAGGGACCAAGCGUUGUUCGGAUUUACUGGGCGUAAAGGGCGCGUAGGCGGCAAUUCAAGUCAUCUGUGAAAUCUCCGGGCUUAACUCGGAACGGUCAGAUGAUACUGCUUUGCUAGAGUGCAGAAGGGGCAAUCGGAAUUCUUGGUGUAGCGGUGAAAUGCGUAGAUAUCAAGAGGAACACCUGAGGUGAAGACGGGUUGCUGGGCUGACACUGACGCUGAGGUGCGAAAGCGUGGGGAGCAAACAGGAUUAGAUACCCGAGUAGUCCCUGAGCGGGCUGGCAAGGCGCAU